rnacentral:rRNA from 1 species
GAUCCUGGCUCAGAUUGAACGCUGGCGGCAUACCUUACACAUGCAAGUCGAACGGCAGCACUGGAGCAAUCCUGGUGGCGAGUGGCGAACGGGUGAGUAAUAUAUCGGAACGUGCCCAGUCGUGGGGGAUAACGCAGCGAAAGCUGUGCUAAUACCGCAUACGAUCUACGGAUGAGAGCGGGGGAUCGCAAGACCUCGCGCGAUUGGAGCGGCCGAUAUCAGAUUAGGUAGUUGGUGGGGUAGAAGCCCACCAAGCCGACGAUCUGUAGCUGGUCUGAGAGGACGACCAGCCACACUGGAACUGAGACACGGUCCAGACUCCUACGGGAGGCAGCAGUGGGGAAUUUUGGACAAUGGGCGCAAGCCUGAUCCAGCAAUGCCGCGUGCAGGAUGAAGGCCUUCGGGUUGUAAACUGCUUUUGUACGGAACGAAACGGCUCUUUCUAAUAAAGAGGGCUAAUGACGGUACCGUAAGAAUAAGCACCGGCUAACUACGUGCCAGCAGCCGCGGUAAUACGUAGGGUGCGAGCGUUAAUCGGAAUUACUGGGCGUAAAGCGUGCGCAGGCGGUUAUAUAAGACAGAUGUGAAAUCCCCGGGCUCAACCUGGGACCUGCAUUUGUGACUGUAUAGCUAGAGUACGGUAGAGGGGGAUGGAAUUCCGCGUGUAGCAGUGAAAUGCGUAGAUAUGCGGAGGAACACCGAUGGCGAAGGCAAUCCCCUGGACCUGUACUGACGCUCAUGCACGAAAGCGUGGGGAGCAAACAGGAUUAGAUACCCUGGUAGUCCACGCCCUAAACGAUGUCAACUGGUUGUUGGGUCUUCACUGACUCAGUAACGAAGCUAACGCGUGAAGUUGACCGCCUGGGGAGUACGGCCGCAAGGUUGAAACUCAAAGUAAUUGACGGGGACCCGCACAAGCGGUGGAUGAUGUGGUUUAAUUCGAUGCAACGCGAAAAACCUUACCCACCUUUGACAUGUACGGAAUUUGCCAGAGAUGGCUUAGUGCUCGAAAGAGAGCCGUAACACAGGUGCUUCAUGGCUGUCGUCAGCUCGUGUCGUGAGAUGUUGGGUUAAGUCCCGCAACGAGCGCAACCCUUGUCAUUAGUUGCUACAUUCAGUUGGGCACUCUAAUGAGACUGCCGGUGACAAACCGGAGGAAGGUGGGGAUGACGUCAAGUCCUCAUGGCCCUUAUAGGUGGGGCUACACUCGUCAUACAAUGGCUGGUACAAAGGGUUGCCAACCCGCGAGGGGGAGCUAAUCCCAUAAAGCCAGUCGUAGUCCGGAUCGCAGUCUGCAACUCGACUGCGUGAAGUCGGAAUCGCUAGUAAUCGUGGAUCAGAAUGUCACGGUGAAUACGUUCCCGGGUCUUGUACACACCGCCCGUCACACCAUGGGAGCGGGUUCUGCCAGAAGUAGUUAGCCUAACC